UACAGAGACUGCAAGCGUUAUUCGGAUUCACUGGGCGUAAAGGGUGCGCAGGCGGCCGUGUGUGUGAGGCGUGAAAGCCCGGGGCUUAACCCCGGAAUUGCACCUCAAACUACAUGGCUAGAGCAUUGGAGAGGGUAGCAGAAUUCAUGGUGUAGCAGUGAAAUGCGUAGAUAUCAUGAGGAAUACCAGAGGCGAAGGCGGCUACCUGGACAAUUGCUGACGCUCAGGCACGAAAGCGUGGGGAGCAAAGGG
rnacentral:rRNA from 1 species